AUUGAACGCUGGCGGCAGGCCUAACACAUGCAAGUCGAGCGAGCGGCGGACGGGUGAGUAAUGUAUGGGAAACUGCCUGAUGGAGGGGGAUAACUACUGGAAACGGUAGCUAAUACCGCAUACCAUCAGAUGAACCCAGAUGGGAUUAGCUUGUAGGUGGGGUAACGGCUCACCUAGGCGACGAUCCCUAGCUGGUCUGAGAGGAUGACCAGCCACAAGUGUACUAGGACACGGUCCAGACUCCGACGGGAGGCAGGAGUGGGGAAUAUUGGACAAUGGGCGCAAGCCUGAUGCAGCCAUGCCGAGUGUAUGAAGAAGGCAUUCGGGUUGUAAAGUACUUUCAGUGGGGAGGCGUUACCCGCAGAAGAAGCACCGGCUAACUCCGUGCCAGCAGCCGCGGUAAUAC
rnacentral:rRNA from 1 species